rnacentral:snoRNA from 1 species
AUCCUUCGGUUCAUAAGCGUGACGACUGGGUGUUCAUGCUCCUGUAUGAGAUGUUCCUCCCUCUAAACCUUGUUAUGACACGGCACAUUACCUGUCUGGUG